CACUGUUGCAACUGUUGUGGUCGGCGGCGAAGGCUUGUUCUUCUUCUCUUCUUUCUGUGGUCUGAGCAGACGCUGUAGCCGGUGCUUGAUCACCUGGUUUCACCAGCAGUGCAGCAGCAGCAGCAGGGAGGAUUAAGAGUCGAAACGAGGAAAUGGAGACAAAAAAAAGCAGCGCACCAGCCGGUCGAGACAGAUGGCUGCCCAUCCUGAACCUGGUUCUGGAUCUGCUGGAGGCUUCUCACUACGACGAUGUGAAGACUCAAACACAAUCUGCUGGCUUCCUUUGACAUAGAACUUCUGCUAAUUGGCAUUUUAUAAUAUUUUGUAUGUAAAUUUAUCACAAUAGGAAUUGAAAUGGUUUAUAAUCCAAGUCAGUUUUGGCCUUUUUUAUUUUUUGACAUUGCUUCAUUAGAAUAUUAUUGUUAUGAUGCUAAAUAAAUAARCUGAAUUUGA